AGUUUAGAAGACAAACAUUUGACUUUUGUGCUGACUGGUAGGAGAGUAUGUGAAUAUGCAUGGAGGAUUGUGUAUGGCAUAAAAAGAAGGAGGUAUUACUACAUGAAAAAGAAAUGUUUGUCUACUAACGAAGAUUUAGACAGUUCUGAUAAAAGAUGUAGCCAACAAUACAAGAGUCGCCAGUACCUUGAAGCAAAGAGUUUUGUGUCUGGUCUAUGCAAGAGAUAUGGUGAUGAUCAGCCUGACAUACUAGAAAUACAUUUUCCAUCAUGUCUCUCUAUUCUACAAGUUUGGACGGAUUAUAAAUCUUCCUGUGAGAAUUUAGAAUCCCCUAUUUGUCUUACCCAAGGUUCUAUGGAAUGUGGAGUGAAGAGUUUCCUCAUGUUAAAAUUCCAAAGUAUCAGAAGCUCAGCAAAUGUAACGAGUGUGUAAUCUUUAAAGAGACCAUCAGCGAAAAACUGACAAAGAUUGAUUUGGGGUGCUGAAGGACAAGAGAAGAUCUAGAGCACAUAUGCUUCUUCAAUAUCUCUGCAGAGAAAAAUAUUUUAAACACAUCAAGAAAUCCAAAGAACAUCCAAGCAUGUAUACAUCUGUUAUCAGUGACAAUAUGGAUCAGUUCAAAACAAAUCUGCCAAGAUUUACGUUACAUUUUAAGAUCAAGCUGACAUUCCUCAUGGUUGGUAGAACCGAAUAUGGAAAAAAUUAGUGGUAUCAUUCUGUUGAUGAGAACAGAUCUACCAAAAUGGGUAAAGAAUGGUAAACUAAAUAGAGAAGAUGAACUUUGGUGGAUCAACUACUUAUCAGCCUUGGAGAAGAGAAGACGUCCUGCGCCAAAGACUCCCUUGCCACAAAAUAUGGGAAGAUACAAGAAACCACAACAUCCACAACCAGCUAUGGAGGAUUAUAUGUUGGCGGCAAUUAACAACCACAUACAGACAUUUAAUAGGAACACCAAUGUCAGGAUUGUCACACAUCGACCACGGGUUUAAGACCUCAAAACUGAUUUUUAUUACUGAAUUGUAUUUUUUAUAUUUUGUCUGUAAUGAACCUCAUAGGAACAUUUGAUAGAUAAACCAUCUUCUAAUGAGCACUGUGCUGCCAAAUUUGUGUUGCUAUUAAUGAAAUGACUACAGUAUGUUUUGUGUCAAGUUUAAUUCCCAGAAACUUGUAGCUAUGUAUAAUAUUUCACUCUCUUAUUAAGUUGCUAUACAGCAAAAUUUCAGUCACUAUCACAAAGUGUUGUUCUUGAGUGACUUUCGAAAUAUCUGUAGU